rnacentral:misc_RNA from 1 species
GGGUGCUGCAGAAAAUUUACAAAUAGUAGUUUUUGUCCCCCUGAUGAUCAGCCCCCUUGUUGUUCACCCAGUAGUGGCUCCUGUAGCUCGAAUGGAGUAUGCAAGGAUUGCACAACGUGUUUCCGUCAUUCAGAUUUAGCAAAUGAUCGCCCUACAACUGAACAAUUUCGAGAGAAGCUUCCAUGGUUCCUGAAUGCGUUACCUUCCAGCGUCCCCUGAUGAUCA